rnacentral:rRNA from 1 species
ACGCUGGCGGUAGGCUUAACACAUGCAAGUCGUGCGAGAAAAUAUCUUCGGAUAUGAGUAGAGCGGCGAACGGGUGAGUAACGCGUAGGAAUGUACCUAGUAGAAGGGGAUAGCCCGAGGAAACUCGGAUUAAUACCGUAUACCUCCUUCGGGAGAAAGAGGGCCUCUCUUUGAAGCUUUCGCUAUUAGAUCAGCCUGCGUAAGAUUAGCUUGUUGGUGAGGUAAUGGCUCACCAAGGCUACGAUCUUUAGCUGGUCUGAGAGGACGAUCAGCCACAUUGGGACUGAGACACGGCCCAGACUCCUACGGGAGGCAGCAGUGGGGAAUAUUGGACAAUGGGCGCAAGCCUGAUCCAGCCAUACCGCGUGUGUGAAGAAGGCCUUCGGGUUGUAAAGCACUUUAAGCAGGGAGAAAAAAAUAUAGGUUAAUACCCUAUGUUCUUGAUGUUACCUGCAGAAUAAGCACCGGCUAAUUCCGUGCCAGCAGCCGCGGUAAUACGGAAGGUGCAAGCGUUAAUCGGAAUUACUGGGCGUAAAGCGCGCGUAGGUGGUUUGUUAAGUUGGAUGUGAAAGCCCUGGGCUCAACCUAGGAACUGCAUCCAAAACUGGCUAACUAGAGUACGAUAGAGGGAGGUAGAAUUCAUAGUGUAGCGGUGGAAUGCGUAGAUAUUAUGAAGAAUACCAGUGGCGAAGGCGGCCUCCUGGAUCUGUACUGACACUGAGGUGCGAAAGCGUGGGUAGCGAACAGGAUUAGAUACCCUGGUAGUCCACGCCGUAAACGAUGACAACUAGCUGUUGGGAGGCAACGCCUUUCAGUGGCGCAGCUAACGUUUUAAGUUGUCCGCC